UACGUAGGGUGCGAGCGUUGUCCGGAAUUAUUGGGCGUAAAGGGCUCGUAGGCGGUUUGUCGCGUCGGGAGUGAAAACCAGGUGCUUAACACCUGGCUUGCUUUCGAUACGGGCAGACUAGAGGUAUUCAGGGGAGAACGGAAUUCCUGGUGUAGCGGUGAAAUGCGCAGAUAUCAGGAGGAACACCAGUGGCGAAGGCAGUCACUCG
rnacentral:rRNA from 1 species